rnacentral:rRNA from 1 species
GACGAAGGUGGCUAGCGUUAUCCGGAAUGAUUGGGCGUAAAGCGUCCGCAGGUGGCUGUGUAAGUCUGCUGUCAAAGAGCGAAGCUCAACUUCGUAAAGGCAGUGGAAACUACACGGCUAGAGUGCGUUCGGGGCAGAGGGAAUUCCUGGUGUAGCGGUGAAAUGCGUAGAGAUCAGGAAGAACACCGGUGGCGAAGGCGCUCUGCUAGGCCGCAACUGACACUGAGGGACGAAAGCUAGGGGAGCGAAUGGG